UGCCUUUUGUGUUACCCAUUCUUUUCACUUCCUCUAAAGAGUGUGGUGUCAGCAAAGGCAUACAAAAACUCUUGGUUUGGCUUUACAAAGUGAUUUCUGUGUAUCACCUUGUCUAAAGCUUAUAGCAAGUACAACA
rnacentral:snoRNA from 1 species